UUACUGUGAAGCCCAGAACAGAAGAGGACGUCAUAACUCCACCUUACAUCUGACUGUUGUGGCAGGCUCAAUGAAAUCAGCAGCUGCUGGAUCAAUCACUGCCAUUUUUCUGGCUCUCAUAUUGCUCUGUGUCUUCCUAUUGAUUAG